GAAUGUGCAGAAUAACUAUCACUAGAGUGGAGGUGGAUGGAAUGUUCUUCACCAAGUUUCAAUGCGAUUGGGUGCCGAUAUAACUUGCAAGGGAGUAAUGUUCAUUGUGAUAUGCAACAAAGAUCAGAUCAACUCACAUCUCUAGUUCCAGAGACCUUUACUCCACUUUCUCACUCUUGACAAUGAUCUUUUCAAGGUAGAGGUAGACAACUACCCUGUUCUAACAGGUCCUCAGCUGUGGUGUAGAUGGAGCUGGAUGGCGCCCAUGAGCAUCUCCAUUGUUUUGAUGUGAUUGUGGAUCUUACUUGCUUCCUAAGUAAAAGAAGGUGGCGUCCUCCACAAAUCUCUUAAACACACAAAUCUCUUGAAAAAAGAAGCAUGUUAUCUGUAUCGUCGUGAUGAUUCAUGCCAAGCACAUCGAGUGAGUGAUCAUCAGCUCCUCCUAGUCUUCCACUCGUGGAGCCUUGAGAGGCAACCGAGAGCACAGCAAGAUGCCACCCCCAUGAUCGCCAGUGCCGGCAUUACUCUCGAGGGAAAUCUGGGCAGCCAGUGGACGAUGACGCUGAUAGCGACUGACGGCACUGCGUACAACGAAGCCACGAGAAUUCCCUCGGCACCAAACUGCCCAUCUGGCUCACGAUGAAAUGCGUGACCACUCCGGGGAUGGAUCAAUGGCACCUGGUACAAGAUGCUGAAAAUGCCCCCGGAGAUCACGAAGAUGUAGAGCGUGAUGGCCGCUCCACACCAAAUCUUGGGAUCUUGGAGGAAGGGAGCUUUGAGCGCUGCCGGGGAGAGGCACGCAAGGAUCACGGCGGUGCAUGCGAGCGCGAUCCGUUUCCCGGUGGAGAGAGGCGGCGAGAAUAUCUCCCCGAUUUCUAUGCCGGAUUUCGAGCGGAUCGUGAGCGCUAGCUGCUGCGCGGUGCUCGAUCGCGGCAGGACCUCGAUGCCGCCACCGCUGGGUGGGAGAUAGAGAACGCAAGGAAUGUGAAAACCUGUGACGUUGAAUCUAUGGAGCGCGACGGGAGGAGAUUUCGAGGCUUGCAUGGACGCGAAGAAGAUCGAUGUCGAGCCGGCGUGAUUCUUGAGAAAGGAGUAGGCCAGAGAGGAGAAUUCGGACUGGAAGAACUCGUCCCUGCCGCUGGCCGCGCUGGAAUCGAAGAAGAGAAUGUAGAAUCCCGGCCCUAGCCCCGAUCUUUCGAGAAUUAGCGACUCUAGGGAGGAAUCCUGGAGCUCAAUGACGCCAUAGCUGGAGGCCGCUCUCAAGCUUGCGAGCUCCCUGACAUGAUCGUCUAGAAGAGCGCCCGCGGAGGCGAUCGUAGCCAUCAAAA
rnacentral:lncRNA from 1 species